rnacentral:rRNA from 1 species
AUACGGAGGAUGCAAGCGUUAUCCGGAUUUAUUGGGUUUAAAGGGUGCGUAGGCGGGACUGUAAGUCAGGGGUGAAAUACUGCAGCUUAACUGUAGCAUUGCCUUUGAAACUGCCGUUCUUGAGUACAGUUGAGGUAGGCGGAAUGUGGUGUGUAGCGGUGAAAUGCAUAGAUAUACCACAGAACGCCGAUUGCGAAGGCAGCUUACUAAGCUGUUACUGACGCUGAGGCACGAAAGCGUGGGGAUCAAACAGGAUUAGAUACCCUGGUAGUCCACGCUGUAAACGAUGAUUACUGGUUGUUAGCGAUAUAUAGCUAGUGACUGAGCGAAAGCAUUAAGUAAUCCACCUGGGGAGUACGUCGGCAACGAUGAAACUUAAAGGAAUUGGCGGGG